AGCUGACCUACUGCACAGGUUCAGGCCCUGUGCACCCGAGGAAAGAUAGUGACAAAGGCCAUACCCUUGGAGAGAGGACUGAUGUCAGGCAGGUUCCUCGCCUGGGUUCUGCCCAGUGAUCUUGUGGACUUCAGGACAUGAGCGCAGACCACACCCAGACAGAGGAAAGCCAUGAAAACUGGGAAGUAAAUGAACAGGAAACAGUUGAGAGACAAAGGGAUGUUUUGAAAGGCGAAUCCGAAUGGAAGUCCAAGAUUGUAG
rnacentral:lncRNA from 1 species